rnacentral:rRNA from 1 species
AGUGAACGCUGGCGGUAGGCCUAACACAUGCCAGUCGAACGGCAGCACAGUAAGAGCUUGCUCUUACGGGUGGCGAGUGGCGGACGGGUGAGGAAUACAUCGGAAUCUACUUUUUCGUGGGGGAUAACGUAGGGAAACUUACGCUAAUACCGCAUACGACCUACGGGUGAAAGCAGGGGAUCUUCGGACCUUGCGCGAUUGAAUGAGCGAUGUCGGAUUAGCUAGUUGGCGGGGUAAAGGCCCACCAAGGCGACGAUCCGUAGCUGGUCUGAGAGGAUGAUCAGCCACACUGGAACUGAGACACGGUCCAGACUCCUACGGGAGGCAGCAGUGGGGAAUAUUGGACAAUGGGCGCAAGCCUGAUCCAGCCAUACCGCGUGGGUGAAGAAGGCCUUCGGGUUGUAAAGCCCUUUUGUUGGGAAAGAAAAGCAGCAGGUUAAUACCCCGCUGUUCUGACGGUACCCAAAGAAUAAGCACCGGCUAACUUCGU